rnacentral:rRNA from 1 species
AGCGAACGCUGGCGGCAGGCUUAACACAUGCAAGUCGAGCGGGCCCUUCGGGGUCAGCGGCAGACGGGUGAGUAACACGUGGGAACGUACCCUUUGGUUCGGAAUAACGCUGGGAAACUAGCGCUAAUACCGGAUACGCCCUUUUGGGGAAAGGCUUGCUGCCGAAGGAUCGGCCCGCGUCUGAUUAGCUAGUUGGUGGGGUAAUGGCCUACCAAGGCGACGAUCAGUAGCUGGUCUGAGAGGAUGAUCAGCCACACUGGGACUGAGACACGGCCCAGACUCCUACGGGAGGCAGCAGUGGGGAAUAUUGGACAAUGGGCGCAAGCAUGAUCCAGCCAUGCCGCGUGAGUGAUGAAGGCCUUAGGGUUGUAAAGCUCUUUUGUCCGGGACGAUAAUGACGGUACCGGAAGAAUAAGCCCCGGCUAACUUCGUG